AUUGAACGCUGGCGGCAGGCCUAACACAUGCAAGUCGAACGAGUGGCGGACGGGUGAGUAACGUUUGGGAAACUGCCUGAUGGAGGGGGAUAACUACUGGAAACGGUCGCUAAUACCGCAAACCAUCGGAUGGGCCCAGAGGGGAUUAGCGAGUAGUUGGGGUAAAGGCUCACCGAGGCGACGACCCCUGGCUGGUCUUAGAGGAUGACCCGCCACGAUGUAAAUGAGACACGGGCCAGACUCCUACGGGAGGCGGCAGUGGGGAAUAUUGCACAAUGUGCGGAGGCCUGUGGCCGCCAUGAGGCGUGUAUGAAGAAGGCCGUCGGGUUGUAAAGUACUUUCAGCGGGGAGGCGUUACCCGCAGAAGAAGCACCGGCUAACUCCGUGCCAGCAGCCGCGGUAAUUC
rnacentral:rRNA from 1 species